rnacentral:misc_RNA from 1 species
GAUGAAGAACGUAGCGAAAUGCGAUACGUAAUGUGAAUUGCAGAUUUCAGUGAAUCAUCGAAUCUUUGAACGCACAUUGCGCCCGCUAGUAUUCUGGCGGGCAUGCCUGUUCGAGCGUCAUUUCAACCAUCAAGCCCUAGGCUUGCGUUGGAGCCCUGCGGCUGCCGCAGGCUCCCAAAUCCAGUGGCGGGCUCGUCGUCGUACCGAGUGCAGUAAACAUCCUCGCUCAGGGAACGUGACGGGUUCUUGCCGUGAAACCCCCCACAUAUCAAGGUUGACCUCGGAUCAGGUAGGAAUACCCGCUGAACUUAAGCAUAUCAAUAAGCAGAGGA